ensembl:snRNA U1 U1 spliceosomal RNA
GUACUUGCCUGGCAGGAGCUACCAUGAUCACGAAAGUGGUUCUCCCAGGAUGAGGCUUAUCUAUUGCACUCCGGGUGUGCUGACCCUGGGAUUUGCCCAAAUGUGGGAAACUCAACUGCAUAAUCUGUGGUAGUGGGCACUGGUUUCACACGCUCCCCUGCUUA